rnacentral:rRNA from 1 species
AGUGAACGCUGGCGGUAGGCCUAACACAUGCAAGUCGAACGGCAGCACAGUAAGAGCUUGCUCUUACGGGUGGCGAGUGGCGGACGGGUGAGGAAUACAUCGGAAUCUACUUUUUCGUGGGGGAUAACGUAGGGAAACUUACGCUAAUACCGCAUACGACCUACGGGUGAAAGCAGGGGAUCUUCGGACCUUGCGCGAUUGAAUGAGCCGAUGUCGGAUUAGCUAGUUGGCGGGGUAAAGGCCCACCAAGGCGACGAUCCGUAGCUGGUCUGAGAGGAUGACACCCACCCUGGAACUGGAGAACGGUCCCGGCCCCCGCGGGGGGGAGGCGGGGGGAAAUUUGGGACAAGGGGGCCAGCCUUAACCCACCCAUCCCGGGGGGGGAAAAAAGGCUUUCGGGUUUUAAACCCCUUUUUUGGGAAAAAAAAAGCAGCAGGUUAAUCCCCCGCUGUUCUGACGGUACCCAAAAAAAAAGCCCCGGCUAACUUCGUC